rnacentral:misc_RNA from 1 species
GAAAUGCGAUAAGUAAUGUGUAUUGCAGAAUUCAGUGAAUCAUCGAAUCUUUGAACGCACAUUGCGCCCGCCAGUACUCUGGCGGGCAUGCCUGUUCGAGCGUCAUUUCAACCAUCAAGCCCCCGGCUUGUGUUGGGGACCUGCGGCUGCCCGCAGGCCCUGAAAAACAGUGGCGGGCUCGCUGUCACACCGAGCGUAGUAGCAUACAUUCUCGCUCAGGGCGUGCUGCGGGUUCCGGCCGUUAAACGACCUUCAUAACCCAAGGUUGACCUCGGAUCAGGUAGGAAGACCCGCUGAACUUAAGC